rnacentral:piRNA from 1 species
UGAUAUUUUAGCUGCUUCUUGCUGCUUCUGU